rnacentral:tRNA from 1 species
UUGUAGCGGGUAUAGUUUA